CUGCAGGUAGGGCCGGGAGAGAAGCUGCUGCCAGGCUGAGCUCAGGGGGACAAAGGCGGCUUCCUCUGUGACGUUAAUGCUCAAAGCAGCAGUCUAGGGUGCCGCUGGGGAAGGGGCCUUGCCUGGAGACUUCCUGGCGCCUGCCCCGUGCCACCAGCUGCCUUUUGCUUGACCCUUCUUUGCUUGAGAGUAUUCCAAGGCUCAUGGAGUCCUCGGGAGGAGGAGUGACAGAAAGACAGAUCACUUAAUGGCGCUUACAGGAUGACGGCAGGACUAAGGCUUAGCAAGCAUCGGGAAGGACACGAUGGCAGCCAGGAUGAGGCGAGAGGAGUGACAACGAGCCCCGCACCCAAUCCGCUGGUAGGUUGCAGGGCUCCGAUUAAGGAAACCCAUCGACUCCAAAGCAAAGGCAGAGUAAGGGCAGAUCAGAAUAUCCUCACGGGGGGUGGGGGGUGUUUUUAAAGGCAGGACAUCAAGACUGGGAACCAGGAGACGGUACAGGUCCCUGGACUACCUGAUUCUUCCAGCUCUGUGUCUUCGUCGGAAAUCUCCAUCUCCUCUUCUUCUCGGAUCCCCAUCAGCACAUCGUUGUGGAUGUUACGGAUUUCCUAGGGUUGAAAAGAGCAUUAUGAAAGGAGCAGCUAUUCUUCGGUCUGUAUGUUGUUCACCUGCAAGGAGGACGAGGGGGAAGCAGGAGAGGAGAGGCUCUGAAGGGAGGGGUGGCUGUCCAAAGCAGAAGCCCACCCCCAGUCAGGUUCUCCAUGGGCCCCGAACAGGCAAAUCUGAACCACAUUCAGCCACCGAUUCCGGAACACUUGAGCACGGAAUUCCAGACCCCCCACCCCCACCCCUAGAAACUAUCACUUGUGGAGUUAAAAAUAACGACAGAUCAUCACUGAGGUCGCACAUUUCAUGAAUGCAAGACGCUGCCUUUUCCUGAGUCUUUGACUUUAGUUGGUCACAUCGCUCAGAAGAAUGUGCUCACGUCUCCGUAGGCAUCUGAUCUGGAGUUGGCAAGGCUGGCGUGGGCCAGGAAACUGCAGACACCCUGAGGCCCGGGUGGGGGGGGGCAGAAGUCACCAGAGACCCAGCCUGGGUCGAGCUCACCAACUGUGUGGCAGUUUCAGCAGCCGUGCUCCUGGUGGCCCCAGUCGGGGUCCCCUGGCCCGAUCCUGGGCUUCCUUGAGCCGCGGCUGCUCUUUGCAGCAUGGCUUGGUGCUUCUCCGCCACUGCCGGUGCCUGCCCACUGGCCAAGGCCAUCGGGGCCUGCAGGGGCCUGGGCCGUGCCGCUGCGUGCCUGGCAAGGCUUUUCGGAGCGGGUGGGGCUAGCGGGGCCUCUGCCGAUGGUCAGCCAAAGAGACUGGCGGGACGCGGAGGCGAGGUCGAGGCCUGCUCCACCUUCUAGCUUCUGAGAACGCCUGACUGAGCGGGCAAGAGCUGCAAAACGCCGCCUGUCGGCUGUAGAGCAGGGACGGAGCGUUUUCCGGAGCUUCCUCCCUCCGGUCAUGUAGCCUUAGAGGCGGGUUAUUGGGUGCUCCGGGGGCCUCCGCUAGGCUCUGCUGUGCCUUUGCCCUCAGAACUCGGAUAUGCAGCACUCCUCUGCGUUGCUCCAUGCAGUGAAGGGCAAGAAAGGCUGGGAUCAGAGGGGAAAGAAAAGGCAGGGCACAGCCGGCCAAGGAGAACGCUGGAGGCAGGAGGCUCGGCGAGAAAGUGGUGAAGGAGACGUGUGUGUGUGUGUAUCUCAAAAGAAGGAAGAAUUGAUGAGAGUAGAUGUAAGGAGGAGAAAGGUCAGCAGGAACUUUAGAGACAGAGAAAGAACUGCCUUCGAACUAGCGCAGGACUCAAAGAACUGGGAGGGGGUCAGGCACCUCCCGGUCUAAAAGGUUUUCCUUACUUGGCAUAGUCCAGCCUUCUAGAGCCACGUGAGAAGCAUAACCCACACGGGAGACGCCCUUGGGCUGCAGCAGCGAAUCUACUUUUCUCCUGUUCUAUGACUACAGCGAAGAGAAAUCGUCCACCGAUUCCCAACCUGUGUUGCACAACAACUUCUCUUUCUUCCACAGCGCCUGUACUGAGUGGAGCAUCUGCAGCCUCCAACCACAUGGCUAACGUUGAAGUUACUACAUCUCCAAAGCCGUUAACUCGGGGAUUCUUACACUGGGGUCCCUAUAAAUGUAAUAAAUGUAAGCCAUGAGACUUGCUGGGUGACUCUGGGCCAGUCACCUCUCUCUCAGCCUAACCUACUUCACAGGGUUGUUGUGAGGAGAAACUCAAGUACGUAGUACACCGCUCUGGGCUCCUUGGAGGAAGAGCGGGAUAUAAAUCUAAAAAAAUAAUAUAAUAUAAUAUAAAUCGACUACUAUUUAUAUACUGCUUUCUCACCAGCCUCAAGCUCCCAGUUCUACAUUUCGGGAUGGCCCAGGCGUGCUGCCACUUACCUUCUGGGAGGAGAGCAGAAACAUCCCAGCUUCUAGCAGCAAGCCUGUGGGCCAAAGCGAGCUAACAGAACACAAAAGAGGGUACCAACCUCUGCUUGACUGCGCCACACACGGAGGUUCUUGCGCUGCCCUUUCGUGAAAAGGUCCCAAGCCUUUUGUUUGGAGGCAGAAUGGUGCACAGCCACUAUCUGCUCGGCUGCAGUUUCCAAUCGGCAGGCAAAACCAGGCCACCAGGGAGGACAAGAGAAAGGCGUAAGAGAGCGGGAUCAAGCAGGCGGCCUGGAGAAUCUUUGUGUUGGGACUCGGGAGGGGGUGAUGGCUGCGGCUGCCAUGAUACCCGGCAAGAUGCUCAAGUUGGAGAAUUCCUGGAGCAUGCAGCACAGCACAAAAGCACUUUUUCCUUUCUUUUUGGCCAACAGAAACCAGAUUAACAGGGAAAGUGGUCUUGAAAAGUAGAAGGUGACCCUAAAGUACAGAGAAUCACUCAAAAGGAGAGUUUCCCUAACACGGGGAGAGAUAUUCUUCCAAUCAAGUGGACCAUGGCUGUGUAUAUUCCACAAGUCUGUAACUGUACCCUUAUUUUAACUGGGUAUAAAAGCUCUUGUUUUUAAGAA